rnacentral:rRNA from 1 species
AUUGAACGCUGGCGGCAUGCUUUACACAUGCAAGUCGGACGGUAACAGGGAGCUUGCUCCGCUGACGAGUGGCGAACGGGUGAGUAAUGCGUCGGAACGUGCCGAGUAGUGGGGGAUAACGCAGCGAAAGGUGUGCUAAUACCGCAUACGAACUGAGGUUGAAAGUGGGGGACCUUCGGGCCUCACGCUAUUCGAGCGGCCGACGUCUGAUUAGCUAGUUGGUGAGGUAAAGGCUCACCAAGGCGACGAUCAGUAGCGGGUCUGAGAGGAUGAUCCGCCACACUGGGACUGAGACACGGCCCAGACUCCUACGGGAGGCAGCAGUGGGGAAUUUUGGACAAUGGGCGCAAGCCUGAUCCAGCCAUGCCGCGUGUCUGAAGAAGGCCUUCGGGUUGUAAAGGACUUUUGUCCGGGAGCAAAUGCUGGUGGCUAACAUCCACCGGAGCUGAGAGUACCGGAAGAAUAAGCACCGGCUAACUACGUGCCAGCCGCCGCCGUAACAC